GUGGGGAAUAUUGGACAAUGGGCGAAAGCCUGAUCCAGCAACGCCGCGUGAGGGAUGACGGCCUUCGGGUUGUAAACCUCUUUCAGCAGGGACGAAGCGAAAGUGACGGUACCUGCAGAAGAAGGACCGGCCAACUACGUGCCAGCAGCCGCGGUAAUACGUAGGGUCCGAGCGUUGUCCGGAAUUAUUGGGCGUAAAGGGCUCGUAGGCGGUUUGUCGCGUCGGGAGUGAAAACUCAGGGCUCAACCCUGAGCGUGCUUCCGAUACGGGCAGACUAGAGGUAUGCAGGGGAGAACGGAAUUCCUGGUGUAGCGGUGGAAUGCGCAGAUAUCAGGAGGAACACCGGUGGCGAAGGCGGUUCUCUGGGCAUGACCUGACGCUGAGGAGCGAAAGCAUGGGGAGCGAACAGG
rnacentral:rRNA from 1 species